AUACUUACCUGGCAGGGGAGAUUCCAUGAUCACGAAGGUGGUUUUCCCAGGUUGAGGCUCAUCCAUUGCACUUCAGGUGUGCUGAUUCCUGCGAUUUCCCCAAAUGUGGAAAAACCUGAUUGCAUAAUUUGUGGUAGUGAGGGACUGUGUUUGCACUUUCCCCUG
rnacentral:snRNA from 1 species